CCCUUAGACGUUCUGGGCCGCACGCGCGCUACACUGACGAAGGCAACGAGCUUUCCUUUACCGAAAGGUACGGGUAAUCUUUUGAAACUUCGUCGUGCUGGGGAUAGAUCCUUGCAAUCUUUGAUCUUAAACGAGGAAUUCCUAGUAAGCGCAAGUCAUCAACUUGCGUUGAUUACGUCCCUGCCCUUUGUACACACCGCCCGUCGCUACUACCGAUUGAAUGGUUUAGUGAGGCCUUCGGAUCCGCGACUCGUUUUGUGGAGAAGUUGGACAAACUCAGUCAUUUAGAGGAAGUAAAAGUCGUAACA
rnacentral:rRNA from 1 species